UACGUAGGGGGCUAGCGUUGUCCGGAAUCAUUGGGCGUAAAGAGCGUGUAGGCGGUCCGGUAAGUCCGCUGUGAAAGUCGGGGGGCUCAACCCUCGAAUGCCGGUGGAUACUGUCGGGCUAGAGUGCGGAAGAGGCGAGUGGAAUUCCUGGUGUAGCAGUGAAAUGCGCAGAUAUCGGGAGGAACACCUAUGGCGAAGGCAGCUCGCUGGGACGUUACUGACGCUGGAGACGCGAAAGCGUGGGGAGCAA
rnacentral:rRNA from 1 species